UUGGGUGGAGGGGGUCUGUGGUGGGAAAAGGGGGACAUCUGUAAUACUUUUAGCAAUAAAGAUAAAUUUAAAAAUAAUAGCAAAUAAAAAAUCGGAGUCCUAGUCCAGUUAGGGCGGGGUUCUCCCUGAAGCAGAUCAGAAACAGGGCCACAGUGGCCGGCAGCGUGGACACACGUGGCCGCUCAGAGAAGGCCACCUCCUUACAGAAGGAGCAGCCGGACAGCCAUGCGCUGGCACGGGAACGCAGGCCUGCGGUUCCCCUGCGGGGCCCGGGAGCAGGAAGUGGCCGUGGACGUGGUCGGCCACGUGCUGCUGACAGUUGAAGCUGUGCCGUGUGUCCGUGGGCUUCCUUAUACUGUUCUAGGGCGUGUGCUUGAAAAGACGCGUGUAAAGAGUGUAAAACCUAAGAGUCUCCUGAGGCUGUGGCCCGUGACUUCCUACCCACGUCGGAGGGUACCCAGGCCGGGCCGCCGCCCGAGGCUCCGGGGCUGCGUGUCCUGGGAAGCGCUCGCAGUCCCGGGCAUAGAAAGUAUUACAGAAAGUGUUACAUGCAGAAUAUUAGUGACGCUCAAGCACUGGGCUCAUCCCUUCCUGAACCGUGUAAAAACCAAGGAAGGCACAUUCGGGAACAUAUGUGCAACAUGUAUCGACGACAUACUGAAGGCUUAUCAUUUCUGGCCCCGUUGCUACCAUACAAAACUUCACAUUUGACAGAGGAAGUCUUGUAAAAACAAAAAGAGAUACAGGAUACAAGCCCGUUUUUAGCUUGCUCUGUACAGAACGCGAGAGCCCAUCAUGUGACUGAGAAAAAUUCUCAGGUUGCUAAACACGACACAGCAUCCCCUGUACAGCAAACAGCGGUCCCGCGGGCCUUCCUCUCCCGCCUCCCCUGAAGCAGGGGAACGCGUCUUCCGGGCGAGUCGGUGUCCAGUGGCCACAUGGCCGUUCAGAGCUCCGUGUGCUUUGUGCCUGGAGUGGCGUCCGGGCCCAGCUUCGGCUCCCCUCUGACUGAGGGGCGGGGCCCCUGCACUUACCUCGCUGUCUUCCGAGAGGCCUAAGGACGAGCAUCAAUGACAGAUCCGCGUGCAGAGUCCGCCACUCACCAGGACAUCAAUGAAAGAAGUUUGUGAAAAUGAUGCUUAGUAAUCUCUCCAGAGGUAGUUCCGCUGUCCCUGCCAAAAGCCUUAAGAUAAGACCCAGAAUCUAACUUCAUUUUCCUCCAAGUGGCCCAUUAUCCAGUGCCAUGUACUGAAUAAUCCAUCUUGUUCCUGCCAUCCCGAGUAUUUACUGAGCAGCGACGUUGGCGCAGGCCCCGAGACGGUGAGGAAAUGACGCAGAGCCUACCUGCUGGUCAGAAACACAGACUGUGAGCAGAUCAUUACUGUUCAGCAGAAUGGUGCUUUCAGUGAAGGCUUGUGAAAGUCACUUUGGGACAAAUGGAGAAAUACUAAUGUCUGCCUAGAGCUGAGGGAAGAUGAACAAAAAAACAAACAGAAAAACCCUUGAGAAGAAACCAGUGAGAACCAGUCACUGUCCCGGGAUAAGAACCUUAACCAUUGACACUGUGUUGCAAGUAGAAGACAUUUACUUCACUCUUCCCUGAAGUUGUACUUAAUGUAAACGUGAAGUUACAUUCACGCCUUCAGUGUGUGAGCAGCUCUCUUCUCGCACGAUGAAAUAACCACACUCGUGUCUUAGUGCCUUUGUACUCCUGUUAGAACAGUUUCAUUUUAUAGUCACAGAAUAGAAGUAAAUAGAAGAACCCAUUUUCCUAUGGAUCUGUUUGAACUGGCACAUUCGUAACUAUUAUCGAGAUAAUUCCUGCGUGCUGAGCGGAACUGUCAGCUCUAACUCAUCACACACAGGAUGUUUACGUAAUAGCAUGUGUCUGCUUUGUUACACGGCGUCACCGCACCUGCAGCAGCAGUAGCACAGCUGUGUCUCAUACUCAGGUGGCUCCUAGAAAGACUGUUCACAUAUUCUCGCCUUCUCUUUUUGGGUGAUUAUAGAAUAAAUGUGUCUUUAUUUUUGUA